GACGAACGCUGGCGGCGUGCUUAACACAUGCAAGUCGAACGGAAAGGCCCUGCUUUUGUGGGGUGCUCGAGUGGCGAACGGGUGAGUAACACGUGAGUAACCUGCCCUUGACUUUGGGAUAACUUCAGGAAACUGGGGCUAAUACCGGAUAGGAGCUCCUGCUGCAUGGUGGGGGUUGGAUAGUUUCGGCGGUUUGGGAUGGACUCGCGGCUUAUCAGCUUGUUGGUGGGGUAGUGGCUUACCAAGGCUUUGACGGGUAGCCGGCCUGAGAGGGUGACCGGCCACAUUGGGACUGAGAUACGGCCCAGACUCCUACGGGAGGCAGCAGUGGGGAAUAUUGCACAAUGGGCGGAAGCCUGAUGCAGCAACGCCGCGUGCGGGAUGACGGCCUUCGGGUUGUAAACCGCUUUCGCCUGUGACGAAGCGUGAGUGACGGUAAUGGGUAAAGAAGCACCGGCUAACUACGUG
rnacentral:rRNA from 1 species